AGUGAGUUGGCAUCAACACACUAUUAAAGUCACAACGGUAAAAGAUGAGCAUGCGUCCCAUUAGCUAGUUGGUAAGGUAACGGCUUACCAAGGCAACGAUGGGUAGGGGUCCUGAGAGGGAGAUCCCCCACACUGGUACUGAGACACGGACCAGACUCCUACGGGAGGCAGCAGUGAGGAAUAUUGGUCAAUGGGCGCAAGCCUGAACCAGCCAUGCCGCGUGCAGGAUGACGGUCCUAUGGAUUGUAAACUGCUUUUGCACAGGAAGAAACACUCGGUCGUGACCGAGCUUGACGGUACUGUGAGAAUAAGGAUCGGCUAACUCCGUGCCAGCAGCCGCGGUAAUACGGAGG
rnacentral:rRNA from 1 species